GGGGGAUUAGCUCAGCUGGGAGAGCGUCUGCCUUGCACGUAGAAGGUCAACAGUUCGAUCCUGUUAUUCUCCACCA
rnacentral:tRNA from 2 species